ACAACAAUCACAGAGAGACAGUCCACCACCUCUACCCUCUUAACUCUUCCUUAGAAAUCCUACUGUCUGCAGCUGGGAAUGAAUGGAAUGAAGGUCAAGGAUGAAGGAUCUCACUCUGUUACCCAGGGUGGAGUGCAGGGGCAUGAACACGGAUCACUGCAGCUUCGACUUCCUGGCUCAAGCAAUCCUUCCACUUCCUGGCUCAAGCAAUCCUUCCACCUCAGCCUCCUAGGUACUGGGAAUACUAUUGGAGGAAUUUUGACAAAUUUAUAUACUCAUAUAACCAUCACCACAAUCAAAACACAGAACAUUUCCAUUAUCCCAAAAAGUUUCCUUGUACUUUCUCAUUCCAUCCUGGUGUGCAAUCAAUGAUGAGUUUUCUGUCACUAUAAGUUAUAUCUUGUUUUCUGUCUCUAUGAAUUAGAAUCAUAUACUAUGUACCCUUUUUGUGUCCUGGCUCCUUUUCCUCAGCAUAAUACCACAUCCAUCCUCUCCUUCUUCCUUAGUAACUGCAUCCUGGGCAAUAUCCCCAGCUGAAAGAUUACGCUUCCCAGCCUUCCUUGCAGCUAGACGUAGCCAUAUGACAAAAUGACGCCCAAUGAAGCAUACAUAGAAAAGUCAUGUGAGACUUCUGGAAAAGCUUCUGUAAAAGUGAGGAGCAGACACCCUUUUCUUUUUCUUCUCCUUUCUCUUGCUGUUGGCCUGGAAUGUGGACCUGAUGGAUGGAGCUCUGGCAAUCAUCUUGGAGUAUGAAGUGACCUUAAGGAUGAACAGAAAAGAAAAUGAGCCUGGGCCUUUAAUGACACAGUGGAGCUGCUCCCAGCUUGGCUACCUUCCUCUUAGUCUGCUUUUAUAAGAAAAUAUAUAUAUAUCUUGUUUAAGCACAA
rnacentral:lncRNA from 1 species